GGAAAGGCGCGCGAUACAGGGUGACAGCCCCGUACACAAAAAUGCACAUACUGUGAGCUCGAUGAGUAGGGCGGGACACGUGGUAUCCUGUCUGAAUAUGGGGGGACCAUCCUCCAAGGCUAAAUACUCCUGACUGACCGAUAGUGAACCAGUACCGUGAGGGAAAGGCGAAAAGAACCCCGGCGAGGGGAGUGAAAAAGAACCUGAAACCGUGUACGUACAAGCAGUGGGAGCACGCUUAGGCGUGUGACUGCGUACCUUUUGUAUAAUGGGUCAGCGACUUAUAUUCUGUAGCAAGGUUAACCGAAUAGGGGAGCCGAAGGGAAACCGAGUCUUAACUGGGCGUUAAGUUGCAGGGUAUAGACCCGAAACCCGGUGAUCUAGCCAUGGGCAGGUUGAAGGUUGGGUAACACUAACUGGAGGACCGAACCGACUAAUGUUGAAAAAUUAGCGGAUGACUUGUGGCUGGGGGUGAAAGGCCAAUCAAACCGGGAGAUAGCUGGUUCUCCCCGAAAGCUAU
rnacentral:rRNA from 1 species